UACAUGUGGGGCAAGCGUUGUUCGGAAUUACUGGGCAUAAAGGGUGCGCAGGCGGUCUCGUAAGCUGGGUGUGAAAGCCCCGGGCUUAACCUGGGAAUGGCAUUCAGGACUGCGAGGCUUUGAGUGCGGCAGAGGGAGGUGGAAUUCCACGUGUAGCAGUGAAAUGCGUAGAGAUGUGGAGGAACACCGAUGGCGAAGGCAGCCUCCUGGGCCAGCACUGACGCUCAUGCACGAAAGCGUGGGGAGCAAACAGG
rnacentral:rRNA from 1 species